rnacentral:sRNA from 1 species
AAAGUGUUAAUUUUAUCGAGCUAUAAACACAUUCGCAGCAAAUCAAAGACAUACUUGUCCAUUAAUGAAUGUCCAAGAAGUCCAGUCCAUAUGGUUAUCUAGUGACUCACAUGGUAGUUUCAUACUAAUACAUAAGUUUAUACAUGAACAAGAAACUAUCCAAGCAGUCUAGUCCAUAUGGUCAUCUAAUAACUCACAUGGUAGUUUCAUACUAAUACAUAAGUUUAUACGAGGAACAAUAAACGUCAAUCCAAAGUACAUUAUCCAUUAUGACCAUUUAUCCACAUGUGUAUAGACAGUUAAGUAACAAUGAUAUGUAACCAAGUUUCUUGAUGUGCAUCUCAGGUCUCAAAGUAUACUCUAACACUUUACAAGUAGCCAUCCACAAGCGACCAUUUCGUGUUGACCAUAUAUAGUUAUACUUGUACGGAUCAAUUACAAAUUGAAGAAUAGUUAUGAUUUAUAAGGAUAACCAAA